rnacentral:rRNA from 1 species
GAUGAACGCUGGCGGCGUGCCUAACACAUGCAAGUCGAACGGAGUUACGAGAGCUUGCUUUGGUAACUUAGUGGCGGACGGGUGAGUAAUGUAUGAGCAACCUGCCUUUCAGAGGGGGACAACAGUUGGAAACGACUGCUAAUACCGCAUAAUGUACGUUGGGGGCAUCUCCGAUGUACCAAAGGAGCAAUCCGCUGAAAGAUGGGCUCAUAUCUGAUUAGUUAGUUGGCAGGGUAACGGCCUACCAAGACUGCGAUCAGUAGCCGGACUGAGAGGUUGAACGGCCACAUUGGGACUGAGAUACGGCCCAGACUCCUACGGGAGGCAGCAGUGGGGAAUAUUGGGCAAUGGGCGAAAGCCUGACCCAGCAACGCCGCGUGAAGGAAGAAGGUCUUCGGAUUGUAAACUUCUUUUAUGAGGGACGAAGGACGUGACGGUACCUCAUGAAUAAGCCACGGCUAACUAC